rnacentral:lncRNA from 1 species
CAUGGCAAUUGUUUUCAAGGCCUCCACCGACGAUUCAUCAGGACGGGACCCAACCGGGACACUAGGGAGGAGCGGCUUAAGCAAAGGAGGCUACAUAUACCACAGAUUCUUGCGUACAAGAACCGAAAAUAGAUAGACGUUUCCAUGGCCCACAAGCCAGCAGGUGCCAGUUCGUUCUC